CUGCAGUCGAAGGUGAGACGGGGCUUGCUCUGUCUGAUCAGUGGCGAACGGGUGAGUAACACGUGAGUAACCUGCCCCCGACUCUGGAAUAACCGUGGGAAACGACGGCUAAUACCGGAUAUGAGACGCACGGGCAUCUGUGUGUCUGGAAAGAUUUAUCGGUCAGGGAUGGACUCGCGGCCUAUCAGCUUGUUGGUGGGGUAAUGGCCCACCAAGGCGACGACGGGUAGCCGGCCUGAGAGGGCGACCGGCCACACUGGGACUGAGAUACGGCCCAGACUCCUACGGGAGGCAGCAGUGGGGAAUAUUGCACAAUGGGCGCAAGCCUGAUGCAGCGACGCCGCGUGAGGGAUGAAGGCCUUCGGGUUGUAAACCUCUUUCAGCAGGGAAGAAGCGAAAGUGACGGUACCUGCAGAAGAAGCGCCGGCUAACUACGUGCCAGCAGCCGCGGUAAUACGUAGGGCGCAAGCGUUGUCCGGAAUUAUUGGGCGUAAAGAGCUCGUAGGCGGUUUGUCGCGUCUGCUGUGAAAACCUGAGGCUCAACCUCGGGCUUGCAGUGGGUACGGGCAGACUAGAGUGCGGUAGGGGUGACUGGAAUUCCUGGUGUAGCGGUGGAAUGCGCAGAUAUCAGGAGGAACACCGAUGGCGAAGGCAGGUCACUGGGCCGCAACUGACGCUGAGGAGCGAAAGCAUGGGGAGCGAACAGGAUUAGAUACCCUGGUAGUCCAUGCCGUAAACGUUGGGCACUAGGUGUGGGGCUCAUUCCACGAGUUCCGUGCCGCAGCAAACGCAUUAAGUGCCCCGCCUGGGGAGUACGGCCGCAAGGCUAA
rnacentral:rRNA from 1 species